UACGGGAGGCAGCAGUGGGGAAUAUUGCACAAUGGGCGCAAGCCUGAUGCAGCCAUGCCGCGUGUAUGAAGAAGGCCUUCGGGUUGUAAAGUACUUUCAGUCGUGAGGAAGGUGUUAAGGUUAAUAACCUUAGCAAUUGACGUUAGCGACAGAAGAAGCACCGGCUAACUCCGUGCCAGCAGCCGCGGUAAUACGGAGGGUGCGAGCGUUAAUCGGAAUUACUGGGCGUAAAGGGCACGCAGGCGGUUAAUUAAGUUGGAUGUGAAAUCCCCGGGCUUAACCUGGGAAUGGCAUUCAAGACUGGUUAGCUAGAGUCUUGUAGAGGGGGUAGAAUUCCAUGUGUAGCGGUGAAAUGCGUAGAGAUGUGGAGGAUACCGGUGGCGAAGGCGGCCCCUGGGACAAGACUGACGCUCAUGUGCGAAAGCGUGGGGAGCAAACAGGAUUAGAUACC
rnacentral:rRNA from 1 species